rnacentral:rRNA from 1 species
GACGUAGGGUCCAAGCGUUGUCCGGAUUUACUGGGCGUAAAGAGCGCGUAGGCGGCUCAUUAAGUGUGAAGUGAAAUCUCCAGGGCUCAACCCGGAAACUGCUUUACAUACUGAUGAGCUUGAGGAAUGCAGAGGUUAGUGGAAUUCCUGGUGUAGCGGUGAAAUGCGUUGAUAUCGAGAGGAACACCUGCGGCGAAGGCGGGUUGCUGGGCUGACACUGACGCUGAUGCGCGAAAGCCAGGGGAGCGAACGGG